rnacentral:rRNA from 1 species
AACGAACGCUGGCGGCAGGCCUAACACAUGCAAGUCGAACGGGCGUAGCAAUACGUCAGUGGCAGACGGGUGAGUAACGCGUGGGAACGUGCCCCAAGGUACGGAACAACUUCGGGAAACUGGAGCUAAUACCGUAUGUGCCCGAAAGGAGAAAGACUUAUCGCCUUGGGAUCGGCCCGCGUCGGAUUAGCUAGUUGGUAGGGUAACGGCCUACCAAGGCGACGAUCCGUAGCUGGUCUGAGAGGAUGGCCAGCCACACUGGGACUGAGACACGGCCCAGACUCCUACGGGAGGCAGCAGUGGGGAAUAUUGGACAAUGGGCGAAAGCCUGAUCCAGCCAUGCCGCGUGAGUGAUGAAGGCCUUAGGGUUGUAAAGCUCUUUCGCCAGGGACGAUAAUGACGGUACCUGGAUAAGAAGCCCCGGCUAACUUCGUGCCAGCCGCCGCUGUAAUAC